rnacentral:lncRNA from 1 species
CACACACACACACACAUAUAUAUAUAUAAACUUUGUAAAAGUCAAACAAAAAAAUAGUGAAAAUCGAGACCAGAAACAACUUUGUUGAGAUAAAAUAUGUUUUGAAGAACAGAAAUGAGAGAAUAUCAAAUAGGUGCAGGCCUGGCUAUGCGUUUAAAGAAAUUAAUAAUACUCCUGUCUACAAACAUUUAGAAAAGUCUAAUCAACACUGAUUGUUUACAAAAGAUUUCAAGAAUAAAAGGAAAGUUACCAUUUGUCAAGAACAUCCAAUUCGUUCCAUCCACUGCCAUGUUGGUUCUUCCCUAUUGGAGUAUUUCAUUCCUUGUUUUACCUCAUUUCCUUUAUACCCAGGCCAGAAAAUGGGAUGUGCAAGUUUGUGUCACUCAGGAAUACAGUCAUCCAGUUCACAUUGCUUUGAACAGCGAUACCAAUGCAAGCAUAACAUGUUUAAACAAGGAGAACUGCUUCAGCACUGAAUUUGAAUUGGUCAACACAACACAACCACGUUAUAUUUUCAUUCGCCCACCUUUGGCGUUCA